GUCUAUAUGAAUAAAAUUUAAAGUCUAAUCUGCCCACUGAAGAAGAAUUAAAGGGCCGCGGUAAUUUAACUGUGCAAAGGUAGCAUAAUCAAUAGUUUUUUAAUUGGAAACUGGAAUGAAUGAUUGAACAAAAAAUAAUCUGUCUUUUUUAUAAAAGUUGAAAUUUACUUUUAAGUGAAAAGGCUUAAAUAAUUUAAAGGGACGAUAAGACCCUUUAAAACUUUACAAGAUAAAAAUAAUUUAUUAAGUAAAAUUAAAGUUAGUUAUUUUUAAUUUUGUUUCGUUGGGGUGAUGAAGAUAUAAAAAAAUAACUGUCUUAUAUUUAAAAUAAUUGUAAUUAGAGUGUGUAUAUGAUCCUUAUUUUAUUUUAAGAUUAAAAGAAAAAGUUACUUUAGGGAUAACAGCGUAAUUUUUUCUGAGAGUUCUUAUUUAUGAAAAUAGUUGCGACCUCGAUGUUGAAUUAAGAUUUUUAUUAAGGUGCAGUAGUUUUAAUUAUAAGUCUGUUCGACUUUUAAAAUCUUACAUGAUUUGAGUUCAAACCGGUGUAAG
rnacentral:rRNA from 1 species